UUAUAUAGCCUAUAAAUGCAAAGCUGAUCACAAAAGCAUCUCACUGCGAGGAGCUGUAGUAAGGACUGAGAUUUGCAUUUGGCUUCUCCUAGAUUUUUAUAUCCAAAGAAAAGUUUACCUUUUUGCAUGAGCCAGAAAUGUUUUCAGUAGUUUCUUUUCUUCUCUUUUUUUCCGAAAGGAAUGGUGAUGUAAAUCUAAUAUAAUGCUUAGGAGUAGAGUAUACAUGGGGGCUGUAAGUGAGACCUGGCAAAGAAUUGAGCUGUGUAGCUAACACCUCUGGAUCUGUAGUUAUGCGCAGAGGCCUUUCUGAAAGGCUGUCUGAAGGUUUUCCUGUCUUCUCAUUCUUCUCACUUAACCAUUCAUUGACCAAGUGCUAGAGAACAGAAACAUUUGGAUCACUAUAUAGUAAUUGCACAUAUUCCACUACAGAAUAUUCUAAUAUCAAAUUAGAUAUUGGCACAUCGUCUAAGACGAUAGAUAAGUUGGGUAAUUUAGAUUAUUCACAUUAUAGGGCUGGAGCGAUGGCUCAGAGGUUAAGAGCAGUAUUGCUCUUGGAGAGAGGACCCAAGUUCGGUUCCCAGCACCCAUGUCAGGUGGCUCACAACCGCCUGUAACUCCAGCUCCAGUGGAUCUACAUGGGUACCUGCACGCAUGUGCAUACAUACCCACAGACAGACACACACACAUAAUUAGUAGUAAUAAAUUUUUAACAAAAAGUAACUCAUGUGGUGAAAAAGAAACCCCACUAAUCAGUAUUUUCAUUUUCUUACUGUUAUUCUAAGGAUUAUUAUAGAUAUUUUAUAGGGAUAAAGUACAUGAAUAUAUGUAAAAAAAUGUAUUACAAAACCCCACUAACUUUGGUAGGUUAUGGUGGUACACUGCCUAUAAUCCAAGGUUGAGUCAGGAGGACUGACACAAAUUGAGGCCAGGCUGGGCUACAUGGUAAGUACCUGGCCAGUAGCACUACAUAGCCAGACUGUUUCAAGGGAAAAAAAAGGACAAAAAAGAAAUUUUGUUUUGAUAUAGUAAAAUCUAGGAGAUACCAACAAGUACCACAAACAAUGUAGAUAUGUUGUUUAGUAUUUUACAUGAAACUGUUUAGUUAGGAAAGUCUGAUAGUCUUAAGCAGUGCUUUUCUAGCCAAGGUGCCCAUCACAGAUGCCUAGAGAGGAGGUCAGCAAAUAGACCACACUGACAGUUCCUGAGGUUUGCAAUGCCUCUUAAAGAUGCUAGCCUUCUGGAAGUUUCUUAUCCACCGUUUAUCUAGUGUAGCCUUGGUGUCUGUUCUUUUGGAAAUGCUUAGGGUUGUACCCAGGGCUUUGCACAUGCUAGGCAAGUGCUGCUCUUCUGAGCCACACCCGGACCUCACAAUCGAGUUUCUCAUGGCUGCCUGAGUAUACCUGGCCUCACCUUUUUAAAAAACUAGGUACUUAGGAACAUUAUUUUUUUGCAUUUGGGGUUUUUUCAUUUCUUAGCUUAAAUGUGAGUUCUUGAACAAGUAUUGAAUGUGUGCAUUCAUACACAUACAAACAUAUUUCUUAAUUUCAAAGCAUUUUCACACCUCUCUCCCUUUUCCUGUAUGUAUAAUUUCUUCUAUAUACCUUUGUAGGACAAAGCUAUUAUAUGUAUUAUUAAAAAGAAUAGCAUCUUUAGGAAUUCAUGUUAUUUUAGUACUAAAUGAUAAAAUGCUGUAAAACUCAACUUGUUUUUUAACAAAUACUUAUAUUUUAACAUUUAUAUUUACAUACUUAACAAUUAAAAAAUGUGAUAUUUGUGAUUGAGAAAAGAAUUUAAAAACUCAAGUACUUUCCAUUUUAAAAAGAAACUUAAUUUUUUUCCCCUUCCAAAUGUGGGUAAGCAAUAUAUUUAUUACUACCAAAAGCAAGUAUCCACUUUAUUUAAGGCAAUAUAGUGCACAGUCUUUGAAUGAAACAUUAUAGUGAUAUUUCAAACAAAACCUGUAAUUCGCUGGCAAAGAUAUUUAAGAGUCUGCUACUGACUUAUAUAAUCCUGAGCUUACAGAAUUCUUUAAGCAAUACUUUUCAUUGUUUAGCAGCCUGCCUAUAAAACUGUAUGAAAUUAGGUAAGAAAAAACAAAAAAAAGGUUUAGGCCCCAAGUCACUUGUUUCUAUGUGUUGUCAUUUACUUGGACAAAAACAUCAGUCUAAGGCUAUGCUAUUACUUUUAAGCUGAAAAACUCAAGUUGUUCAAAUUCAUAUGCGGUUUCCUGUAAAUUGUCUCAUAAUUCCGACAGUAAUAAAAUCUGAUGUAAC
rnacentral:lncRNA from 1 species